AAGACAAAUCCAACUCAAAGACGGCUCUUGGAGAGGGUGGGAAGGGAUGGCUCCCUGCUCUACCCAGGGCACACAACAGGAGACCCUCCUCUCCUCUCCAUAGCUCCCUUCUGAUGCUGCCACUGUGUGACAUUCUAGGCCUGGAGCCCUCUUCCUGGGAUGACCAAACCAAAACCCUUUGGGACUUCAUUCAAGCAAACACUUCUAGAGGGCUGCGUGCAGUAAGGCGCAUACGGUAUGGAAAUCAUAAGUGAAAAGACUAGCUUGGUGGACAUUACCUGAAGCCCCCUGCCAGGACUUUCAGGAAGCCCACUCAUCCAUGUCGUCAUGGUGUAGCCCCUGAGCCCAUCCCUGCAGGGGUGCCUUCCCGAGCUCUAACGCAGGGGCUCCUUCCCUUCCUGCUGCACCGGGGUCCUUGGCCAGCUUAAGUGGUGCUAAAGGCCAGCAGGCUUCCUGAAGCGUCGUAUGAACUAAACAACUCAAAAAGUCCCUGGUUUUCUGCCGAAGUUACUCCUGUCUGCUCCUGUUUCUGGACUGGGGGGGUGGUGAGACCUGCCGUCUUGAUUCUCAGGAUGGGUUUGAGACCUUUUGAGUGGCCGUGCCAAACCCAAACACCCUCCCUGCUCCAAGUAAGGCACGCAAGCUGAACACAAAAGUGUGCUGUAAAAUUAGAAUUUUCCCUUGAAUAUGUGCUUUUAUAAGGUCUGCUGCAUUCUGCAGUGUGAUUUUAUUACGUCUUAGGGCCAAAAAUUCUCCCUAGAAACACAUUUCCAAGUUUAUAAUGAAAAUUAAUAAGGAAGAGUAAAACUUGGAAAUAUGCUUUAUAGGCAACUUUUUUUUUUUUUUUUUUUCCCCCA